UUGAAAAUAAUAUUUUUACUCAUCACAUCCAAUAAUACUUUUCACUCAACAAUUACACAUUAAAAAGACAAAACAGUUGUACAUCUAAUCUAAUAUUAUAAAAUCAUGAAGAAUGACAAAAGACCAAAACUAAACUUUUAAGAUUAAUCUAAAAACAGACAAAAAAUUGGAAAAACACCACUGACACUUUUGAAUAUCUAAUUACACAGAAGACACAAUAACACAAUCCAGAAAAAAAAUAAAUUUACAUAUCUUAAAACGUUUUCUAUUCUGAAACAAAAACAUCUAGUUGUUUCUUCAAACACUUCCUCUUUCAAUGUUCUGGGUUGCACUAUGAAUUGAUUUACUAAUAACUCUUUUCUCAAAACUGCUUCCCUCAUAAACUCUACUAAUAGUUGAAAUCAUUGAUCAAACUAAUGUUACCUUCUGAUCACCACUAACUAUACUUUUCAGUGAAUACAAUCAAAGUUUCUGGACCAUUUCUAAAUUGCACACAGGUGAACGUCUCACCAAAACUCAAAUGGAUACUCUAAAUGUGAAAUCAAGACUCAUGUUCACAACUUUUAAGGCUUCGAUUAAACAGAAAUUUCUAACUAACAGAGAAGUACUAAGACACUUUGCACAUUUCAGUCCUCAGACUAUCUGACAUUUCAAACUAACAGACAACUACACAUGGACAUAGAAGACACGAGUCCUUGGACUAUCUGAAGGUUCUAGUUUACAGACAACUACUGUGAAACUUCGAAAAUUUCAGCCCUCAGACUGUGUGAAAGCUCAUCUCCUCAGGACUCAAGAGGUCUGUACACUUUGAACAUCUUGGAAAUCAGGGUUCAACCCUCCAGCACAAAGCCUAAAGACCAACCUCCUGACAAAAACUGUCGAGUCAAAACUCAAGUUAAAAAUUAAAGCUGCAAGCAACGUUGGACGGGUCAUCGCAUCCUUGCUGGUCAGCGAAUCCGCGCACGUUCACCAGGCGGCGCUGUGACCGAGAGUGCAUGUCGGCCUAUGGAUGUGAUGAGGGCUGGACUCUGAUCACACGUGUAAAAUUUCAGGCAGAUUGGAGCAUGUUUAGGGCAGUUACACAGCAGUUGAUGUUUCAUGGCAAAGGAUCCAUUUUUUGGGAGUCGCCAUGGCCACGCCCUUUGAAAUGAGAUGAACAUUUUGAUAACUUUUCAUCAGGUCGCGUGUUUGCAUGUACUGGCCAAAUUUGAGGUCUCUCGGAGUUAUCUCUGAUGAGUUAUUAAUUUUAAAAAAUUUACAGCUAAUUCAAGAUGGCCGACUUCCUGUUGGGUUUAGGGCGUGGCCAUGGUUGACUUUUUCGUGUGUCCUGAUGUGCUGCAUAUGCAUGCGAAGUUUUGUAACUGUAGAUAAAACAGUCUGGCAGUUGGCCUAAUGACAACUUUUUGCAACUUUGUAGGGGGCGCUAUGGAGCCAUUUUGCCACACACAUGCGCAACUCCCAUAAAAUAUCAAAUUUUUCGCCAGUCCCGAUGAGCAUGCCAAAUUUGACGCGUUUUGGGGUAUGAUAAGGCCGCCAAAAAUGGCAAUUUCCCGGCGGGCAAAGAAUAAUAAUAAAUAAUUCCUUGCAUUCCAAUAGGGUCUUCGCACCAUUCGGUGCUCGGACCCUAAAAAAAAAAAAAAAAACACCGUUAUGGCAGGUGCCAGAGGCUCAAUAGCAGGAAAUGAGAGAGCAGAAAGAGUUGCGUUUUAAAAUGCUUUAUUUACAGACUCAAGGAAUACAUGCGUAACAAAAACCGGAACUACAAAUCCGAGCCAGAGGUUACUAAGAAAAAACUGAACGUAAAUGCCUCUAGAGGUAAGGAGGACUAAAAACAAAACCCAAAACUACAAUUAACCCACUAUUGGUAUAACCGAGGCAGGAAAACAACUAAGGAAACCCAACUAAACAAACGCAAAACAACCAGUACUGUACUGAAACCCCAAAAGCUCUAACCUAAAAAAUCCCAAAGGUUAAGAGCUGACGAAAACAGGUUGGUAUAUUCUACAUCUGGUGACUCUAGGGCUGGAGAACCUUACUGACUCUAGACGAGAAGGAGGGGGCAUAUCCAUGGGGGAAUUCAUCUCCUCUUGGUUCUUCCUAGGAGCCUCCUUUCAAUAAGCGGACAUGAGGAUGGUAGGUAUGGCGUCCCAAGCGAGGCAGGAGGAGAGGGAGGUAAGACGGAUCCAGACACUCCAGGUGUUGUGGUUGAUGUUAUCCUGGUGGUUCUGACGACGGCCAAUUUCCUCAGUCCAACAGAAUCCACGGAGAAGAACUGAGGACCAGAUGGCAAACCAGUGAACCGGAGGAAUCAGGAACCAACAGCAGGCAGAGAGGCCCAGCUGGAGUCCAGACCUGAAUCCCACUGGGAACCUGUGGAGGAACUGAAAACCAGAGUGACAAUGAGGAAGACUUCCAGCCUCAAAGACCUGGAGAACCUGCUGGAGACAUGCAAGAAGCUUGUUAGCGCUUAGAAAAGAUGCGACAUUGGCAAAUAAAGCAUCCACCACUGCUUACUGUAUAACAUUUAUAGAUUAGAAUAAUCUCUAAAAUAUAUUGUUUUACUAGAAAAGAUUAAUCUUUUAAUAGAUUCAUCUAUUCUAUUAAAAAAAAUGCUACAGAUGUUA